UGCAGUGUGUGUUUCCUGGUUGUAUCCUGGUACGUAUGUAUCCUUGUUUCCUGGUUCACAUAUGCACACAUA
rnacentral:tRNA from 1 species